UACACUCCUACGGGAGGCAGCAGUGGGGAAUUUUGGACAAUGGGCGAAAGCCUGAUCCAGCAAUGCCGCGUGUGUGAAGAAGGCCUUCGGGUUGUAAAGCACUUUUGUCCGGAAAGAAAUCCUUGGCUCUAAUACAGUCGGGGGAUGACGGUACCGGAAGAAUAAGCACCGGCUAACUACGUGCCAGCAGCCGCGGUAAUACGUAGGGUGCGAGCGUUAAUCGGAAUUACUGGGCGUAAAGCGUGCGCAGGCGGUUUGCUAAGACCGAUGUGAAAUCCCCGGGCUCAACCUGGGAACUGCAUUGGUGACUGGCAGGAUAGAGUAUGGCAGAGGGGGGUAGAAUUCCACGUGUAGCGGUGAAAUGCGUAGAGAUGUGGAGGAAUACCGAUGGCGAAGGCAGCCCCCUGGGCCAAUACUGACGCUCAUGCACGAAAGCGUGGGGAGCAAACAGGAUUAGAAACCCGGGUAGUCCCAUG
rnacentral:rRNA from 1 species